AAAUUGAAGAGUUUGAUCAUGGCUCAGAUUGAACGCUGGCGGCAGGCCUAACACAUGCAAGUCGAACGGUAACAGGAAGAAGCUUGCUUCUUUGCUGACGAGUGGCGGACGGGUGAGUAAUGUCUGGGAAACUGCCUGAUGGAGGGGGAUAACUACUGGAAACGGUAGCUAAUACCACAUAACGUCGCAAGACCAAAGAGGGGGACCUUCGGGCCUCUUGCCAUCGGAUGUGCCCAGAUGGGAUUAGCUAGUAGGUGGGGUAACGGCUCACCUAGGCGACGAUCCCUAGCUGGUCUGAGAGGAUGACCAGCCACACUGGAACUGAGACACGGUCCAGACUCCUACGGGAGGCAGCAGUGGGGAAUAUUGCACAAUGGGCGCAAGCCUGAU
rnacentral:rRNA from 1 species